UAACUACAUUUCUGUCAUCCGUACAAAA
rnacentral:piRNA from 1 species